UGCAAGUCGAGCGAAUGGAUUAAGAGCUUGCUCUUAUGAAGUUAGCGGCGGACGGGUGAGUAACACGUGGGUAACCUGCCCAUAAGACUGGGAUAACUCCGGGAAACCGGGGCUAAUACCGGAUAACAUUUUGAACCGCAUGGUUCGAAAUUGAAAGGCGGCUUCGGCUGUCACUUAUGGAUGGACCCGCGUCGCAUUAGCUAGUUGGUGAGGUAACGGCUCACCAAGGCAACGAUGCGUAGCCGACCUGAGAGGGUGAUCGGCCACACUGGGACUGAGACAUGGCCCAGACUCCUACGGGAGGCAGCAGUAGGGAAUCUUCCGCAAUGGACGAAAGUCUGACGGAGCAACGCCGCGUGAGUGAUGAAGGCUUUCGGGUCGUAAAACUCUGUUGUUAGGGAAGAACAAGUGCUAGUUGAAUAAGCUGGCACCUUGACGGUACCUAACCAGAAAGCCACGGCUAACUACGUGCCAGCAGCCGCGGUAAUACGUAGGUGGCAAGCGUUAUCCGGAAUUAUUGGGCGUAAAGCGCGCGCAGGUGGUUUCUUAAGUCUGAUGUGAAAGCCCACGGCUCAACCGUGGAGGGUCAUUGGAAACUGGGAGACUUGAGUGCAGAAGAGGAAAGUGGAAUUCCAUGUGUAGCGGUGAAAUGCGUAGAGAUAUGGAGGAACACCAGUGGC
rnacentral:rRNA from 1 species